rnacentral:tRNA from 1 species
GCCCGCAUAGCUCAAUGGUAGAGCGCGUCACUAGUACUAACAUACAAAUAGUUCGAUUCUGUCUGUGGGCA